CCUACGGGAGGCUGCAGUGAGGAAUAUUGGUCAAUGGCCGCAAGGCUGAACCAGCCAAGUCGCGUGAAGGAUGACGGUCCUAUGGAUUGUAAACCUCUUUUGUCAAGGAGCAAAAUCCGCCACGUGUGGCUUUUUGCGAGUACUUGAAGAAAAAGCAUCGGCUAACUCCGUGCCAGCAGCCGCGGUAAUACGGAGGAUGCGAGCGUUAUCCGGAUUUAUUGGGUUUAAAGGGUGCGUAGGCGGACUGUCAAGUCAGCGGUAAAAUUUCGGGGCUCAACCCCGUCGAGCCGUUGAAACUGGCGUUCUUGAGUGAGCGAGAAGUAUGCGGAAUGCGUGGUGUAGCGGUGAAAUGCAUAGAUAUCACGCAGAACUCCGAUUGCGAAGGCAGCAGACCGGCGCUGAACUGACGCUGAUGCACGAAAGCGUGGGUAUCGAACAGGAUUAGAUACCCGGGUAGUC
rnacentral:rRNA from 1 species